CUACCACCUGCCAGGUGGGCAGCAGGUGGCACCACUGGGCUGCAGAUUAGGACCCAGCUUUCCUUAUGGUGGCAGGAGAGGGACAUGCUGGUGGCUGGAAUCAUGUAGGAUGUGGGAUAAUCUCCUACCGAGGCAGGCAGCUUGAACUCAGGGAGACUGAACCCCAGGAGGAGGUGAAGGAACUGAAGAGCACUGGAAGAGGUGGGAGAGAGAAGAGGGAGGGGGGACACUGGGUGAGGAAAUGGAGAGGAUGAAGCAGGAGAGGAGUGGGCUGAGAGGGACGAGGAAGAGAAGAGGGACCGGAAAUGAACAGAGCAGAGCAGAAAGACACAGGGAGGGGACCACAUGGCCAUCACAUAGGCUCGUAUCACCAGCCAUAGCUCCCUUUACCUGCCAACCCAGGACUCAGUCAGGACAGACAGACAGUGCUUGAGCUAUGCCUCCUUGGUCCCUCCUUUCUUUCUUCAGACCAGCCAUCUGAAGGUUCCUGGAUUGGAGGGCUCUACAGACAAGCAGAGUUCACCACCUCACAUGAAGUGCAGGGAGCAAGGAGUCUGUAACUUAGUCUGCUAGAGCCAAAACUCCAGAAGCAGGGACCCCAGUGCAUGGACAAGACCUGCCUUUGCUAUGUGGUUCACAGGCCUCAGCAGAGACAUCAGAGACUGCUGACUAGCUGGUCCCUAAGACGGAUAGUCACUCUGCAUCCACACCAGAUUCCGAGUUCUGAAAUCACUUUGACGGUGCAAGGCCUGUGGGUGCACCAGAGAACCCGACAACCUGCCAAAAUCCUCCGGGCUUCCGCAGAGCAGCCCAGAGGCUCCAAGGAAUGACAUCAUCCCUUCUCAACAAGUAGCUAGAGCAAGAAGAUGAUACUGUGAGCCCUGCCCUUGGGAAGCUUCCAGAGGAGCAACACCCAGGAGCAAAGAGGACCCAGGUACAAAGGCCAGGCUACCACACAGCACAGUGGAGAUGACAUCCACAGCAGUGAGAAUGGUGGUCCCCGUUCAGCCUCCGAGCUAAGCCGUUUGAUCCUUGAGGCUGUGGAGUAGGCAGGGUACUAGCUUCAGAGACCUAACACCACUCAUCCCCAGUGGUGGGCAAGAAUCCAAACAGAGGUCCACCAGGUCCAUGCACUUGCUCUUUCAUCUCAAUUCUUGGCCACCCUAAGUUCUAGGUAGGGGCUUGUCACUUCCCUUUCAGAAAAGCCUUGAGGGAUCCCCACUACCAAUAACAUAGCCCUUCCCGGUGAGGCUCCCCUCAAACCACAGCCGAGGAAGCAACCACUGUCUUCCACCCACACCGGCCACAUCUUAGGUUUCACCCUGGAGUUUCCCAAGUCUCCUCUGUGCUCCGAAUGAACCGCAUGCCCCAUUUUACAGAUAAGAAACCAGAGGGUUAAGAAUGUUAAGUAACUAGCCCAAGGUCACGCAGCUGGGAAACAAAUGAGCCUGGCUAGAACUCGGGUCAUUAGCAUGCCCAUUUGUGUUCCAGGCAAUUAGGGAAGGGGAAUUAACGACCCGUGCUGCUAAUGGUCCCAGGGAGAAAGGUUCCAGAGUUGACUAAGGCACCUGGGCCUUGAGAAAUGGAUGGGUCUGCACAGUCAGAGCAGGAAGAGUGAGAAGAAUAUAGAAAGUGCCGAAAGGGAGUUAGUGGUGGGCUUGUCCAAACUAGGCUUUGUCCCAAAUUGGGACACGGUAAGAGAAGCCAUAGAAUGGGAGUCACUCCGUGUGUCCCCCUAACUUGUUGCACAACAUUAAGUGAGCCCCUUCCCUCUUUUGAUGACUUUUCUAUAUAUAAAAGACUAAUUAAGCCUGGGUGGCUUCUUGGGUC
rnacentral:lncRNA from 1 species